ACUAAAUAGAUACCCCGGUAGUCCACGCCCUAAACGAUGUCUACUAGUUGUUGGUGGAGUAAAAUCCAUGAGUAAACGCAGCUAAACGCGUGAAGUAGACCGCCUGGGGAGUACGGUCGCAAGAUUAAAACUCAAAGGAAUUGACGGGGGCCCGCACAAGCGGUGGAUUAUGUGGAUUAAUUCGAUGCAACGCGAAAAACCUUACCUGGCCUUGACAUGCCACUAACGAAGCAGAGAUGCAUUAGGUGCCCGUAAGGGAAAGUGGACACAGGUGCUGCAUGGCUGUCGUCAGCCCGUGUCGUGAGAUGUUGGGUUAAGUCCCGCAACGAGCGCAACCCUUGCCAUUAAUUG
rnacentral:rRNA from 1 species